rnacentral:rRNA from 1 species
AUUGAACGCUGGCGGCAUGCCUUACACAUGCAAGUCGAACGGCAGCACGGGAGCAAUCCUGGUGGCGAGUGGCGAACGGGUGAGUAAUAUAUCGGAACGUGCCCAGUCGUGGGGGAUAACGUAGCGAAAGCUACGCUAAUACCGCAUACGAUCUAUGGAUGAAAGCGGGGGAUCGCAAGACCUCGCGCGAUUGGAGCGGCCGAUAUCAGAUUAGGUAGUUGGUGGGGUAAAAGCCUACCAAGCCUUCGAUCUGUAGCUGGUCUGAGAGGACGACCAGCCACACUGGAACUGAGACACGGUCCAGACUCCUACGGGAGGCAGCAGUGGGGAAUUUUGGACAAUGGGCGCAAGCCUGAUCCAGCAAUGCCGCGUGCAGGAUGAAGGCCUUC